GGAGUAGGAUAGAAGAGGGAAGAGACAGAGAGGGAGGAAUGGGGCAGGGUAAGGUAGGAUAGAUGAGGGAAGAGACAGAGAGGGAGGAGUGGGGCAGGGUAAGGUAGGAUAGGUGAGGGAAGAGACAGAAAGGGAGGAGGGAGGAGUGGGGCAGGGUAGUAUUAGAGAGGGAGGAGUGGGGCAGGGUAAGGUAGGAUAGGUGAGGGAAGAGACAGAAAGGGAGGAGUGGGGCAGGGUAAGGUAGGAUAGGUGAGGGAAGAGACAGAAAGGGAGGAGUGGGGCAGGGUAAGGUAGGAUAGGUGAGGGAAGAGACAGAGAGGGAGGAGUGGGGCAGGGUAAGGUAGGAUAGGUGAGGGAAGAGCCAGAGAGGGAGGAG